GAGCAGCAGGUCCCCCGGAUCUGAGUUCUCCCAUGGCAUAAUUGAACUCUCUGAUCCACCUAACAUUUCGCGUCGCCCACAGAACCUACCCCUCCUAGCUAGGCUACAACUUCGGCAUCGGCCGGCGAUGGCUAAUCUGGCAGAAGCUGGCUACGUGUUCCAACCCACCGGCCGUGAGCUCGUCGGCCACUACCUCAUGCCCAGGGCGGGGCUCGGCGGCUUCUUCCUCCCCGCCGUCAUCGAGGAGGGCGUGGACGUCUUGUCCUUGCGCCCACGCGCGCUCUCCUUCCCGAAAAACCACAGGAGGGAUUACGGCGAGGUAUGGGGCUUCUUCUUCGCGGCAAAGCCCGCCGGCGAGACGUGCCCGACGCCGGGCGCGGGCGGGUGCUGGGAGCAGUACGGCCAGGAGAAGGCGUACUACGGCGGCGAGGGCAGCCGGGAGGCAGUGGCGUUCAGGCGCAGGUUCGCGUACCGCUACACGUGGAGGGACGGGGAGGUAAUAUCACAGAUGCGCUGGCGGAUGAAGGUGUACCGGCUCAACAGGAACGCGGCCGCCUUCCGCCGCGCGCACCCCGGCCCCGUGCCACCAGACGUCGUCUUCGUGGUCCACAAGGUCUACAGGAAGCCGCUGAUCCCUCCGCCGCUGCCGCCCGACAGCAGCUCCAGCGAGGACGAGGGCUCCGAGAGCUACGUCGUAUACCCGGGACUCGAUGAGAUCAUGCGGAGGUUAACGGAGGGGAACUAGGGCGACCAAGGGGCGGUGCUGCCCCUCCUGCAGGAGUAGCAUUACGCCACAGCUGCAUGUUCAUUUCUUCAGCGUUGUUGUGUGUGUCUCUUGUUUCAUUUCAGUUCUGGAUUGUGCGCUCGAUCUAGUUGAGGCAGAUUGGUUGCUCUAGUUCAUCGAUCGCUGUUUUCAUCGUUUCGGAGUUUUCUUCUGUCGCUUAGACAUAGCUUUGAUCUUGUAUGACUUUGCUAUUUGUAUGUGUAUUUAUCUGUGUGUGCGUGUGUUGGUGUGGCUGUGUGUAUCCUAGCUAUGUGAGGGUUGUGAUUGUGCUCAUUGUGUUUGUAUAUAUUUGGUUGAUGCUUCAUUUGAGUCAAUAAAAUUCCCCCUUUAUCAAAAAAAAAUGUGAUCCAUCUUCCUUGCAACAUCUAUCAGAACAGUUCAGAGGUGUUAUAUCUUUUAGAGAACUUACAGUUUUCUCUGCACAUUUAUUGUUCAUACUAGAAAAUUUGUAAGCACCAAAUCAUGCUGCAGAAAUUCAGUGAGGUUGAGAAUUAAUUGGUCUCCGUUUCUUUCUAGAUACUCCCUCCGUCCCGAAAAACAUGUCGCGAGGGCAAUUUUACAAAAAAAAACUUUAGUUUCUCCCGACCAAACCCGCACUCCUCGUCGUCCUCCUCCGACAGAAUCCCCAGCUGCGCUGCUCCCCGCCGCCGUCGCUUCCCCGCUCCCCCGCCGCAGCUGCGCUGCUCCCCGCCGCCGCGGCUCCCCUGCUCCCCCACUCCCUCGCCGCAGCUGCCUCCUGCUCCGACGCCGCAGCUGCCGCUCGCCUGCCUCCCCAAGCUCCCCCCUUCCUCAUAAAAAUCUUCGAUUUCCCCAGCUUAAGCUCGACGACCCACGCGCCACCACAGGAGGAGGGAACCGAGGUCGGCGCCCCCUGCCAAUCUCCACAGCCUCCAGCGACCAACCCUAUCUCCUGCCCCCUGCAACUGGUCCUGCCAGUACGCCGCGUCCGCCGCCGGUGAAUGCCCUCCGCGAGGACUGCGCCUAGCCCCUCUUCUCCGGCGCUCCUCGGCCAUCCCCGACCCUCUGCUUGGUCGCCAGGGACGUGCUGCUCCGCGCCUGCUCCAGAAAUCCAGAAAUCCAAGAAUCUAGCUCGUAGGCACUCGCAGAUGAUUAUCGACGAGAAUCAGAAGGUCCAUUCGGAGCUGGAUUGCAAGAUGCAGGAUCUUGAGCUCAAAUCCAAGAAGCUUGAUGAGCUUGCUGUGCGUAGCGAAUCUGACAGAAGGAAUCUAGAGAAGGAGAAGGAAAAGGUACGUGCCAAAUGUCUGCCGUAAAAAAAAUCAUAUGGAUGAUGGUUGAUUGUUUCCGUGCUUCUUUCUAGAUUACGCUGAAAGAAAAGACCACCACAAAAUUGUUUCUGCAUAACACUCAUGUCAGGCCGUUGUGGUGAAUACAGAACAUGAUCAAAGCAAAAUAUCUCAAGAUGGCAACAUUGGAGCAACAGAAGACUGACGAAAAUGUCCUGAAGCUUGUGGAAAAACACAAGGUUUGUGCCCUUAUAACACUGAAGAUCUACUGAAUUUUAGUGAAUGUGAGAUGUUUUGAUCUGAACUAGCUAUGUUACAACAACCUGACAAAAUACUCUGAAAGAUGUUAGAGAUCUUUUGAUCUGAACUAGCUAUGUCAGAGUCUAACUGAUUUGGUGCUUCUUCAAAUAAAUCCAAAUAACCCAAAUUAAUUCAAAUAACCCAGAUAAUCCAUACUCCUGCUAGCAAUGACAAAAGAUGAGUACAUCAUGGUACCAUAACAAGGAUAUACACACAGAAAAUGAGUAGAAUGACAGGAGCCUUGCAACCAUUACAAAAAUGUGAACUACUGACUAAGAAAUGUUAUGACAGGAGCCUUUGUAACACCAUUUCAUUUCUUGUUCCUUUCUUGCUUGCUUGCUUCUCUACUUACAGUAGUUUCUACAGCCGUUCUCUUGUUUGUUCCUCUAGUACUGAUAGAGGUCCCAGAGCUAGUAGCAGUUCCUCUAGCAAGUGCCAUAUAUAACUACUCUACUUACUUACUCAUCAUCUCAUGAUUCUGCUCCUAACCUCUUUUUUACUGCCAUUAAUGAAUUUGUCUUAUUUCUGCUACUUUGGAGCAGGUUUUUCCUUCUCUGUCUCUGAACUGUGAUGUGCUCUGCUAAAGUGCUAAUGCCACUAAAUCGUCUUGUUCUGCCUGGCUUAACAAGAUCCACAUUCUCAUUUUAAAAAAAAGGCUUCACAAUUUCACAGCUACUCCUAGUAAUUGCUCUGCAUCUACUGAUUUUUUCUGUGCCAUGUCAAGCAUAGAUAGGUUCAAUUAAUUUGCUUGAAUUAUCAAAAUUACUGUCACUACUACUGUAUGCUUUGACACUGUCGAAACUGAUUUAGUGUGAAUAUGUGCCUUAUGUAACCAAUAAUUUCUGUAUCAAGGUUUAAUGUGAAUAUGUGCCUUAUGUAAUGAUUUUCUCCCAACAAGCUUCAGACCACGUUUUGUACACACCUACUGUUAACUGUUUUAUUCAGUGUUUCUCUGUAGAAAUCUGAACAUUAUUUUCAUUUAACUUGUACUUGCAGCACAAGCAUGGCCAUCCACCAACAUGCAAAACAAGUUCCAGACCAAAAAUAUGUGUUUCUUGCUGUUUACUCAACUGAACCAGAUUUGGGUUUUCAAGUUCCAAGGUUUCUGCUAACAGCAUACAGAUUAAAUUGAAAAGCUGGAUUCAUCUAAAUCAUGGACAGUUCAAAACCAAUUAUUUCUAGCUUGCUCCCUCCACCCCCCCUGAUAUCUACUGAUUUUUAUUCAAUUAACACUAAUCAUAUUCAGUUAACAGGAGCAGAGCAGUUCUUCCUGACGAACAAGAGCAGAGCAGCAACUCCCGUACACUGAUCAUAUUCAGCACAGGGAGCAGAGGAGCAACUCCUUACGGUACCUUCUUCCUCUUGACGAGCAGGAGCUCUGGCGGCAGCACGGGCAGACGAGCAGCAGCAGCACCGGCGGUAGGGGAGAAGCAGCCGCACGGGCGCGCGGGCAGGGGAGAAGCAGCCGCACGGGCUCGCGCGAAAGAUUGAGGAGGGCGCGCGGGCAGGGGAGAAGGAGGACGCGCGCGAGCUCCUGGUCCACCGGAUCGUGGAGGCAAUUUCCGGCAACGCCCGUAGGGGAUUGCGGCCGGGAUGAAUUGCGGCGGCGCACGCGCGGGAGCUCGAGGAGGAUGCACUGGAGCUUGAGGAGGAUGCGCUGGAGCUUGAGGAGGAUGCGCGGGAGCUCGAGGUGUACGCCCGCGAGCUCGAGGAGGACGUGGCCGGAGGUCCCGACGAUGCCCGCAGGUAAUCGAGGCGGGAGGGGAUCGCGGCGACGCAGGUCUGAGCGGGGGAGGCGGCGGAGCAGGUACUUGGCGACGGCAGCGGCGGAGCAGGUAGGUGGCGACGGCGGCGGAGCACUUCCUGAUGGGCGGCGAGUCGCGCAGCUGGGCGGCGCCGGCCCCUAUCGACGGCGGAGGAAGAAGACAGGGGGCGGAGGGGCUUGUUUCAGACAAUUUUAAAACUACAAGGGCUUUUUUGCAAAAUCAACAUUGAACUGCGCCCGCGACAUGUUUUUUGGGACGGAGGGAGUAUAUGAAUUGGACUGAACUGAGAGGCUAAGGCUAAGGGAAAUUUCUCCGUACAUGCUACUGGCUGAAAUACUAUCAAGCUUACGAUAAUCGCUUUAGGGCUGCACGAGUUAUUUUUGGCAGCACUUUGAUGUGUUAGACUCAAGAGUCAAGACCCUGAAGUUCAAAAUAUUUCUAGCCAUUGCUCUCCAGUCUCCAGAGCUUUAGCCAAGUCAAGCAGAUUUUGUAGCAAUUGCAUUUGCGAAGGAGUAAUGGUUUUAAUUCAACAAAUAAUUAGUGCCUUUCUGACUUAUAUCUGAAUUAUGUCCUUAUGAUGCACAUUCACCUUGCAUAAUGAAUAUACAAAAUUUCAGAAAACUGCCAGUAUAUUUCAGGAGGUAUAUCCUUCGACCUUCAGGUAACCCUAUGAUUUUAUUUGCUUGUACCUGUUUAGAGAUUAUAAUUUCCGAGGGUUGGUCACAGUCUCACAGAAAAGUUGUAAUCACCUAAUCAUAGUGCGGAUCCCUUCUAUAAAUUGGACUGAACUGAAGCACGAGUAAAUUUCAAUGCUACUGAUGACUGGAAUAUUCAUGAUCCAGAGGACUAAAUUUGUGCUAGUCAAUUCGGUCCAGAGCUUACCAAUGACUGGUAGAUCUUGUAGCACUUCACUUGCCGAGCAUUUAGUUUCCACUUUCUAUUAAUAAUAGCAGCAGAUCAUGACGAGGAAAGUUUUGUGUGUGUUCGAAACGAGGCCGACAAACGAUUUUGCAGCACAGAUAACUAGCUGAAUAUGAUCUCCAGAAUUGGAUCCAUCAUCCAUGUAUCUGUGACUUACCAUCCUACUGUGUUUUUGUUGGAGGAAAAUGCUGUCCACAACUGCACAUUGUGUAGGAAUCUACUGACCACUGCUGUUACAGAAAGUCCCAGGAGGCCAGAAUCGAAUACUCCCAGGAUUUUUAGAAGCUUAUUAUUCACUUCGAAGGACAAUCUUGGAUUUGCAAUAGGACUUGGCUUGGAGAACAUCACUGCCUGCCAUCACGAUCGUGCCACUAUAUAUACAGCCCCUAAUCCCAAACCUCCCUUGAUUCGAUCGAACUCCUCUUCCCUCCGAGAGUUAUUUACCCAAAACCACCACACUUAGGGCUAGGGUAACAACUUGGUAUCAGAUUCAAGGCAGGGCAUCAAAAACCACCAGAAUUGCGCCUAAUGUGUAACGCGGAGCACUGAUGCUGGGAUUCGGCCAUGAAAACAGCCAAACCGACAGGUGGGUCCCGCUUGUCGGGCUGACGUGGCGAAGACCCAAAAGUUUGACCGACUGAUGUGGCAAAUGAGACUCGGCCCCACCUGUCAAUGACUAGCAAGUUAUCUUCUUCACAACAUUUAUUCUAUGGAGCAUUCCAUCGAGCACCUUCUGUGCAUUCAUCCUCUGGUCACCGAAGAAGGCACCGCACGACAUGGCCACGCCGGAGCAGUGACCAGCUGAACGGCGAGAGUAAGGACCAGAGGAACGGCGGCCGGACGCCUCCACCCGAGAGUAGUGGCGCCUGCGUGAAGAAGAAGGCGACCGUACGCACAGGUGAGGUCGCGCGGCGGCGCACCAUGGAGCCGGCAGAUGCAGCCGCGGCAGUGAGAAACUUGGGUGGCGUCCAUGGUUCUUCUUGUGCGGUUGUGGAGGCGACGGGGGACUUGGGUUGCUCGUGCUCGGCAGGGAUCGCCCUGGUCGAGCGUCGCCGCCGCUAGCGCGCCCGCGGCCAACGGCCCGACGUCCAUGGUGUUCUUCUGCGGAUGGUGGCGCGAGCGCAACGGCGAGCUGCGGGCCGAGCUCGAGGAGGUGGCGUCAGGGGCUCAUGGGAAGCGGAGCAGCUCGUCUGCCUCUCCAUGGAUUGCCGGCGGCGCACGGCGAGCGCAGCGGCGAGCUGCGGGCCGACCUCCGGGAGGUGGCGUCGGUGCCUCAUGGGGAGCGGCGGCGGCUCGUCUUCCUCUCCAUGGCGUGACGACGGGGGAAGAUAGGUGGGCGCGGCCACUCGGCAAGGAGAGAGACGGGGAAGGAGGACGGCGGCGUGCCGUUGCCAUGGUGGCCAUGGAGCUCUCGGCUCGGCCGUCCAUCCCAGCAGGGCGGCGGCGGGAUUCAAGGGUUCAUGGCGCGCGGGGAAGAGUCUGAGGCGGACGGGGCUAGCUUGAGCAGGGGGCUGCGCCAUGGCCAUGAAGCUCUCGUCUCGCAUGGACAGAGGUGGCUCGACCGCACACAAACUGCUCGAUGCAUUGCUCAAAGGAAAUAAAGAUGAGAUGAAGAUGAUCAUGUAGCCAAUGACAGGCGGGGCCCACAUCUCACAUGCCACCUCACCUGGUCAUCAUUUUGUGUUGUGCUCGGUCUUCACCACGUCAGCCCGACAGGCGGGACCCACCUGUCGGUUUGGCUGUUUUCAUGGCCAGAUUCCAGCAUCAGUGCUCCGCGUUACACAUUAAGCGUAAUUUUGAUGGUUUUUUAUGCCCUACCGGUAGUUUUGGGUAAACAACCCUCCGAGGCCCCAAGCCCAACAACCCCACCUCCUCGCCCUCUUCGCUUCGCAACUCUCCAUCCCCAUGGCGACGCCGCAACCCGCGGGGCUGACGCUGCGGCCAGGAGUAGUGUUCAGGCCCAGCGGCCGCCAGCUCAUCACGCUGUACCUCGGCCGCAACGCGCUCCGCGGCGAGCUCCCCGACGCCGCCGUCAUCCCCGGCGGCUGCGUCGUCACGGCGGGCGUGGACGUCUUCUCCGCGAGCCCCGGCGCGCUCCCCUUCCAGGCGAGCCACAGGGGGGCGCACGGGGAGGUGUGGGGCUACUUCGCCGCCGCGGCCCCGACCGCCGACAGCGCCCAGCCUGCGCCGGGCGGGUGCUGGGUGCGGCAGGGCGCCGAGAAGCGGUACGAGCUCAAGGGGGAGGCGCUCGGCUACCGGAGCAGGUGCGCGUUCUACGCCACGCGGGCGGUGCGGGCUCGGGUGGUGUGGACGCCGACGCGGUGGCUGAUGAAGGAGUACCGCCUCGACAAGGGCGCCGCCGUCUUCCGCAGCAAGCUGCCCGACCACCCCAACGCCAACAUGGAUUUCGUGGUCCGCAAGGUCUUCACCAAGCCGGCGGUUCCCGUGCCGCCGCCUGCCCGCUCCGGCUUGGUGGUCCGGCGGGUAGGAGGCAGCGUUCCGUCGCGCCAAGCCCAACCAACCCGGGCGGCGUUCGUCAAGGCCCGAGGGGGCGCUCCACCGCUACUGCCGUGUGCCCGCCCUGGCGAGGCGCUCCGGCCAGGAGGAAGCCCCCUUCCGCCGCGCUCGGACCGACCACCUAAGGUCAUCGCGAAGCAGGUGAUCCUUGCCCCGCCUGCGCACUCCGGCGUAAACGAGGACGCCGGCAACCUCAACGACAAUGCCAUGUCGUGGACGCGCGUCGGCGGGGAGUACAACUACAACUACAAGGUACCCAGCGGCCGCCAGAUCAUCGUCGAGUACCUCGGCCCCAAGGCGACCACUGGCAAGAUCGCCGACCGCGCCGCCCCGGGCUCCGUCGCGGAGGGCGUGGACAUCUUCGCGGCGAGCCCGGACGCGCUCCCCUUCCCGCCCAGCCACAGGAAGCAGGGCGGGGAGGCGUGGGGCUACUUCUUCGCGGCGAAGCCCGCCAGCAGCAUGCGGCGGGCGCCCGGCGGGUGGUGGAUGCAGUACGGCGACGCGAAGGGGUACGAGUUCCGCGGGGAGGUGUACGCCCGCCACCGCAGGUUCGCGUUCCGCGCGGCGCGGGCGGACGACGGCGGCGGCAAGGUGACGUGGGAGCAGACGCGGUGGCUGAUGAAGGAGUACGCGCUCCACAAGGGCGCGUCCGCCUUCCGCGGCGCGACAGCCGGCCCGGCCGGUGCCAACAUGGACCUCGUGGUCUACAAGGUGUUCACGAAGCCGGUGGUCACCCCGCCGCCGCCAGCCCGCUCGAGCGAGGCGGAGAACCAGGCGAGGAAGGGCUCAGAUGCGCCCAGGAUUGUUUUCGACAUUGAUUUGAACAACUAACCGCUCACGCCGGGUUCGACAUUGAUCCACGGCCACGCACAGAACACGGAAGGGAAUUAACCCGGCUGUUUCUUCAGUGGUGUUCUGGCUCUGGAGGCAUCUCCAUUGCAGCCAGCAAACGUUCACGAAGCUUUUGAUUUGCCUUGCAUGGAUGAUUUUUGUUGGCAACUGCAUUACUCUCUGAAAGUGAAGAAACUUGUACAGGUGAGAGUUGGUAGGAAUGUUCCCGUUUGCUUCUUUACAUAUGAUGACAUUUUGAUCUGUCUAUCCUUCUAUGGUCAUCUUAUACUCAUACUGAUUACUGCAAUUGUCAAGAAUUGAUUACUGCAAUUGGCAAGAACAGAUGAACUGUUAUGUUUACCAGAUAGCUGUAAGACAUCUUAUCUUUCUUCAAGGCAGAUGGUGCCUACAUUUUCGCAAGCAAGUGCGUAGCCAUUCAUACUGAAAUGAAAUCAUGAAAAGAUAUCAGUAAUUUGAUUGUACACAUCAGUGUGACUGUACAUCGAGAAGCAACAAUGUGAUUCAUUAUACACAGAGAACUUCUCAAGGAAAGAACUAACAGGUUGUACUCCUAGAGAAAAACAUGAACUGAUGAAGCUGCAGGCAGCCCUUCGCUAAUACUCCCUCCGUCCC
rnacentral:lncRNA from 1 species